GUGCUUGCUUCAUCAGCACGUAUACUAAAAUUGGAACAAUACAGAGAAGAUUAGCGUGGCCCCCACGCAAGGAUGCUUUAAGUUUUUGUCUGAGAAACUGACUUGAAUU
ensembl:snRNA U6 U6 spliceosomal RNA